GAGACUCCUCGCUCUGGGCUGCUCCGGGCCAGGCCAUGCGGUGUUUGUCCUGGCAGAUCCUGGCCUUUAGGAAGACUCCGAGUCCCUGAGAGACCCUGCCCACCCCCAUUUCUUCUCUGACCCAGGGUGCAGGCUACUUUCGGGGCCAUGGCCUUUUCAUCAAGAUUUGCCUUCUGGGAGCAAAAGGAAAGUUGGAUUUCAAAACCUUUAUGCUUUUCCUAUGUGCUUGGCAUGGUGUGUGCCGGCAGGAGACUGGCUUGGGAGAGAGGGAGCUUUGGAAACUGGAGAUGGACUGGGGCAUGUGUGCAUAUUUGGGGGUUGGGGAGACUAACCAGGGGGCCAGUGGACUCACUCUGCUGU